CGCGCAGGCGGCUGGUCAAGUCCGAUGUGAAAUCUCCCGGCUCAACUGGGAAACUGCAUCGGAAACUGAUCGGCUUGAAGGUGGGAGAGGGUAGUGGAAUUCCCGGUGUAGUGGUGAAAUGCGUAGAUAUCGGGAGGAACACCAGUGGCGAAGGCGACUACCUGGCCCAUUCUUGACGCUGAGGCGCGAAAGCUAGGGAGCAACG
rnacentral:rRNA from 1 species